UGAGGAAUAUUGGUCAAUGGGCGUUAGCCUGAACCAGCCAAGUAGCGUGAAGGAUGACUGCCCUAUGGGUUGUAAACUUCUUUUAUACGGGAAUAAAGUGAGCCACGUGUGGUUUAUUGCAUGUACCGUUAUGAAUAAGCAUCGGCUAACUCCGUGCCAGCAGCCGCGGUAAUACGGAGGAUGCGAGCGUUAUCCGGAUUUAUUGGGUUUAAAGGGAGCGUAGGCGGGUUGUUAAGUCAGUUGUGAAAGUUUGCGGCUCAACCGUAAAAUCGCAGUUGAUACUGGCGACCUUGAGUACGGUAAAGGUAGGCGGAAUUCGUGGUGUAGCGGUGAAAUGCUUAGAUAUCACGAAGAACUCCGAUUGCGAAGGCAGCUUACCGGACCGGGACUGACGCUGAUGCUCGAAAGUGUGGGUAUCAAACAGG
rnacentral:rRNA from 1 species